AGGGUUAUAGUUAAUUAUAACAUUUAAAUUGCAAUUAAAAAGUAUUGAACAAUCAAUUAACCUUA
rnacentral:tRNA from 1 species